rnacentral:lncRNA from 1 species
CUGUUUCCCACACUACAGGCCAGCACUGUGGGCUCUCAGUUUAUUGGGAAAUGGAAAUAAGAGGGAAGGACAAAAGUCCACUGGGAAGCAGACUGGACAGAAAGGAACUCUGAGCAGCUAAACUCUGACUAAUCCCAGGGUAUACCUGCGUUUUCUCUUCACCAGAUUUUUCCUACCAGGAAGAGCAUGUGCUGACCAACAGACAUGAAUUUCAGCCUGGUAGUUACAACAUUCACAGUAUACCCACAUCACUAAGCUGGGAGGCACAUUUUGAGACCCAGAAUCCUGACACCUCCAUGCCUUCAAAAGGAUACCGAGGUCUCCCUGUAUUGCCCAGGCUGGUCUCAAACCCCUGGCCUCCAGCGAUCCUUCCACCUCAGCCUCCCAAAGUGCUGGAAUUACAGACAAACUGCGGCCUGGACCAGCUGGUGAAACAUAAUUCUGAAUCCUGCCCACAGCCUUCGGUGGUUUUGGAUGAAAGGCCAGCGCCUUGGGAGCCCUGCGUUUGAUUUCAAGUUUUAAGGCCGGCACUGGUGGAGCAAUGAAUGGUGAAAGCUCUCCCCUUAAAGGAGCACAGUUGCCUUUAGGUGACUGCUAACUCAGGCUUUUGCUGAGGACAGUGUUUACUUUGUGAGCUUAAUGACAGGGCUGGCUUUCUGGGAGUGUUGCAAUGAAACAGACUCAGACACAGGCCAUCAUGGGCCUCCUCCCUAGCAAGGCCGCCACGGCUGGCAUCUCAAGAGCAGUCCGUUGAACUUGGGAUUUGGGUGUGAGACACAGUUUCAUCAGAAGAAUUUAAACCAAAGUCUACAUUUGCCCUCUAGAUAAAUGUGUGUGUUCAGCAGCAACCACA